rnacentral:rRNA from 1 species
GACGAACGCUGGCGGCGUGCUUAACACAUGCCAGUCGAACGGAAAGGCCCCUUUGGGGGUACUCGAGUGGCGAACGGGUGAGUAACACGUGAGUAACCUGCCCUUGACUUCGGGAUAACUUCAGGAAACUGGGGCUAAUACCGGAUAGGAAUCCUUGCUGCAUGGUGGGGGUUGGAAAGCUUCGGCGGUUUUGGAUGGACUCGCGGCUUAUCAGCUUGUUGGUGGGGUAGUGGCUUACCAAGGCUUUGACGGGUAGCCGGCCUGAGAGGGCGAACGGCCACAGUGGGACUGAGAUACGGCCCAGACUCCUACGGGAGGCAGCAGGGGGGAAUAUUGCACAAUGGGCGGAAGCCUGAUGCAGCAACGCCGCGGGCGGGAGGACGGCCUUCGGGUUGUAAACCGCUUUCAGCAGGGGCGAAGCUUGUGGUGACGGUACCUGCAGAAGAAGCACCGGCUAACUACGUG